rnacentral:rRNA from 1 species
CCUACGGGAGGCUGCAGUAGGGAAUUUUCGUCAAUGGGCGCAAGCCUGAACGAGCAAUGCCGCGUGAACGAGGAAGGUCUUCGGAUCGUAAAGUUCUGUUGAAGGGGAAAAAGAGCGGAGAGAGGAAAUGAACUCCGAUUGAUAUUACCCUUCGAGGAAGUCACGGCUAACAACGUGCCACCAGCCGCGGUAAUACGAAGGUGGCGAGCGUUAUCCGGAAUGGUUGGGCGUAAGGGGUGUGAAGGCGGCCUGCUAAGUCUGGAGUGAAAGGUACCGGCUCAACCGGUAUAGGCUCUGGAAACUGGCGGGCUAGAGAGCAGGAGAGGGCGAUGGAACUCCAUGUGUAGCGGUAAAAUGCGUAGAUAUAUGGAAGAACACCAGUGGCGAAGGCGGCCGCCUGGCCUGUUACUGACGCUGAGGCACGAAAGCGUGGGGAGCAAAUAGGAUUAGAUACCCCUGUAGUC